rnacentral:rRNA from 1 species
GUAGCGGUGAAAUGCGUAGAGAUCUGGAGGAAUACCGGUGGCGAAGGCGGGACUCUGGUCUGUAACUGACACUGAGGCUCGAAAGCGUGGGGAGCNNNNNNNNNNAUACCCUGGUAGUCCAUGCCGUAAACGGUGGGCGCUAGGUGUAGGGGGCUUCCACGUCUUCUGUGCCGUAGCUAACGCAUUAAGUCGACCGCCUGGGGAGUAACUCCGCCUGGGGAGUACGGCCGCAAGGUUAAAACUCAAAUGAAUUGACGGGGGCCCGCACAAGCGGUGGAGCAUGUGGUUUAAUUCGAUGCAACGCGAAGAACCUUACCUACUCUUGACAUCCAGAGAACUUGGCAGAGAUGCUUUGGUGCCUUCGGGAACUCUGAGACAGGUGCUGCAUGGCUGUCGUCAGCUCGUGUUGUGAAAUGUUGGGUUAAGUCCCGCAACGAGCGCAACCCUUAUCCUUUGUUGCCAGCGAUUCGGUCGGGAACUCAAAGGAGACUGCCGGUGAUAAACCGGAGGAAGGUGGGGAUGACGUCAAGUCAUCAUGGCCCUUACGAGUAGGGCUACACACGUGCUACAAUGGUGCAUACAAAGAGAAGCGAUCUCGCGAGAGUCAGCGGACCUCAUAAAGUGCGUCGUAGUCCGGAUUGGAGUCUGCAACUCGACUCCAUGAAGUCGGAAUCGCUAGUAAUCGUGGAUCAGAAUGCCACGGUGAAUACGUUCCCGGGCCUUGUACACACCGCCCG